rnacentral:rRNA from 1 species
CUACGGGUCGCUCCAGUUAGGGAUAUUCGGCAAUGGGGGAAACCCUGACCGAGCAAUGCCGCGUGAAUGAAGAAGUAUUUCGAUAUGUAAAGUUCUGUUGUUAAGGAAGAAAGGUACGAAUAGGAAAUGAUUCGUAAUUGACGGUACUUAACCAGAAAGCCCCUGCUAACUACGUGCCAGCAGCAGCGGUAAUACGUAGGGGGCGAGCGUUAUCCGGAAUUAUUGGGCGUAAAGGGUGCGUAGGCGGCCUGUCAAGUCCGAGUUGAAAGCCCACGGCUUAACCGUGGAGGGUGCUCGGAAACUGAUAGGCUUGAAUCCAGAAGAGGCAAGUGGAAUUCUAUGUGGAGCGGUGGAAUGCGUAGAUAUAUGGAGGAACACCAGUGGCGAAGGCGGCUUGCUGGGCUGGUACUGACGCUGAUGCACGAAAGCGUGGGGAGCAAACAGGAUUAGAUACCCUCGUAGUC